CCUACGGGGGGCUGCAGUGGGGAAUAUUGGACAAUGGGCGAAAGCCUGAUCCAGCCAUGCCGCGUGUGUGAAGAAGGCCUUCGGGUUGUAAAGCACUUUCAGUGGGGAAGAAAGCCUUGGGGCUAAUACCCUCGAGGAAGGACAUCACCCACAGAAGAAGCACCGGCUAACUCCGUGCCAGCAGCCGCGGUAAUACGGAGGGUGCGAGCGUUAAUCGGAAUUACUGGGCGUAAAGCGCGCGUAGGCGGUCUGAUAAGCCGGUUGUGAAAGCCCCGGGCUCAACCUGGGAACGGCAUCCGGAACUGUCAGGCUAGAGUGCAGGAGAGGAAGGUAGAAUUCCCGGUGUAGCGGUGAAAUGCGUAGAGAUCGGGAGGAAUACCAGUGGCGAAGGCGGCCUUCUGGACAGACACUGACGCUGAGGUGCGAAAGCGUGGGUAGCAAACAGGAUUAGAUACCCUUGUAGUC
rnacentral:rRNA from 1 species